rnacentral:rRNA from 1 species
ACGGAAGGCAGCAGUGGGGAAUAUUGCACAAUGGGCGCAAGCCUGAUGCAGCGAUGCCGCGUGAGGGAAGAAGGUUUUCGGGUUGUAAACCUCUGUCAACAGGGACGAAAAUGACGGUACCUGUGAAGGAAGCUCCGGCUAACUACGUGCCAGCAGCCGCGGUAAUACAUAGGGAGCAAGCGUUAUCCGGAAUUACUGGGUGUAAAGGGAGUGUAGGCGGGACUGUAAGUCAGAUGUGAAAUAUGCCGGCUCAACUGGCAGACUGCAUUUGAAACUGCGGUUCUUGAGUGAAGUAGAGGUAAGCGGAAUUCCUAGUGUAGCGGUGAAAUGCGUAGAUAUUAGGAGGAACAUCAGUGGCGAAGGCGGCUUACUGGGCUUUAACUGACGCUGAGGCUCGAAAGCGUGGGGAGCAAACAGGAUUAGAUACCCUGGUA